GACGAACGCUGGCGGCGUGCUUAACACAUGCAAGUCGAACGGAAAGGCCCGCUUUCCCUUGUGGGUUCCGGGUGCUCGCGUGGCGAACGGGUGAGUAACACGUGCGUUAUCUGCCCCCAACUUGGGUAUAAGCCUGGGCUACUGCGUCUUAUUCCCGCCAGGACCGCAGUGUGGUUCCUAUGGUGGCAAACGAUUUUCUAGGGUUUGGGGCUGAGCUGGCGGCCUGUCAGCUUGUUGUUGGGGUAAUGUCUUACGAAGGCGGGGACGGGUAGCCGGCCUGGGAGGGUGGACGGGCGCAGUGGGACGGAGACACGGCCCAGACGCCUACGGGAAGCAGCAGUGGGGAAGAAGGCGCGAUGGGCGGAAGCCUGAUGCAGCGACGCCGCGUGGGGGAUGACGGCCUUCGGGUUGUAAACUCCUUUCGACCGCGAGGAAGCCACCUGGUUGGAAGGGUGGUGACGGUAGUGGUAGAAGAAGCACCGGCUAACUACGUG
rnacentral:rRNA from 1 species